CCAGAUCGCCCCAUAAAGGAGCCCUUGACACCGUGGAAAGUGUCAGUGAUGCGUGAAUGCUACAAGGAGAGGCUGCUGCGGCUUUGCCUACCUGCCGACAUUCUACAAAACAGCCUGAAGCGGCUUAACCAUUUUGUGGUAAAGAAGUUGGCUGACAUAGAAAAACUGGCCCAAAAGACUGAAAUGGCUGAUCGAAUGGCAUAAGAUCACUGGAGGGUGCCACUACGAAGAACUUUGUACCA
rnacentral:lncRNA from 1 species